GAGGUCUGCAUGUUUUUUGGGCCUGUGGGGGACGUCCUCUGUGGAACUGCCCAGAGGAAAAGAGUCAGGACCCAGACAAAGCCUCGUUUCUAGAGACUCAUCUUUUGAGGACUUAGGACUAUUGGGCCUUUAGAGUGGGGAAAGGUGUGAUCCAGCUUGGCAACUCCUGCCCCUGGCCAUCCAGGGGGCAGGGGGCAAGAAGGGGCUGUGGUGCUGGCACCAGGCUCUUGGUCUGGAUGCACCUGGAUGGAGAAACCAAGCCACCUUGCUGCCCCAUCAUCUUGAGGCAAACAAGUUAGCUCGUGCUAUGAAACAAAGUGCCUUGGGCCUCCUACCCCAGUUGCCACCAUGGCUGGUGCUGGUGGCUCUCCUCUUAGACCAAUUUGUGGAGCUCUCUCACCCACUACUUUCACUCCCCCGGUCUAACUGGCCAGCAGGCGGCGUCAUCCGAACUCCGUGAUAACAAGUCUCCUCCAGGCUGGCAGGGCCGGGCCGUGGCCCAGGGGGCACUCCUGGCUAUAGAGGCCUGCCGGCCCGGCCCCCCACGCUCCCUCCCCCGGCUCGGGCACGUUACCUGCUGUGCCAAUGAGUUUCUUGGAUUUGUUGAAGAUCUGAUCACCUGGGUUAGGAGGUGGCGCUACGUCCUGGCCCUGCCGCGCCAGCAGAGGGUUG
rnacentral:lncRNA from 1 species